rnacentral:rRNA from 1 species
GACGGACGCUGGCGGCGUGCUUAACACAUGCAAGUCUACCGGAAAGGCCUCAGCUUGCUGGUGUAGUCGAGUGCCUAACGGGUGAGUAACACGCGGGUUACUUGCCCUGCACUCUGGGAUAAGCUCGGGAUACUGGGUCUACUACCGGAUAGGAGCGUGCCUUAGUGUGUGCGGCGGAACGUUUUUCGGUGCAGGUUGGGCCCGCGGCCUAUCAGCGUGUUGUUGGGGUAAUGGCCUACCAAGGCGGCGACGGGUAGCCGGCCUGAGAGGGUGUACGGCCACAUUGGGACUGAGACACGGACCAGACGCCUACGGGAGGCAGCAGUGGGGAAUAUUGCACAAUGGGCGCAAGCCUGAUGCAGCGACGCCGCGUGGGGGAUGACGGCCUUCGGGUUGUAAACCCCUUUCGGCAGGGACGAAGCGUUUGUGACGGUACCUGCAUAAGAAGCACCGGCUAACUACGUG